GAUGAAGAACGCAGCGAAAUGCGAUAAGUAGUGUGAAUUGCAGAAUUCAGUGAAUCAUCGAAUCUUUGAACGCACAUUGCGCCCAUAGGUAUUCCAAUGGGCAUGCCUGUUCGAGCGUCAUUUGUACCCUCAAGCUUUGCUUGGUGUUGGGCGUUUGUCUUUCGAGACUCGCCUUAAAAAGAUUGGCAGCCGGCAUACUGGUUUCGGAGCGCAGCACAAAUUGCGGUCUGUUCCUGAAUGUUGACGUCCAUGAAGCCCCCAUUAUCACUUUUGACCUCGGAUCAGGUAGGGAUACCCGCUGAACUUAAGCAUAUCAAUAAGCGGAGGA
rnacentral:misc_RNA from 1 species